UGUUUUUGUUUGUUUUUAUCACAUUCACAAACAUACAAUUGCACGAAGAGACGGCGUGUCCCACGGCACUAAAAACCAGUGGCGGAUCCAGAAAUGGGCCCUGCCUUACCCCAAGCCCUUCCCCCCCGAGACAUGUCGGGCUUUCAAAGCCGACAAAACUCCUGAAGAGAGUCCCCCUCCGUUUCACUGUCUGUUUUGAUAAGCCAUUUUAAAUAUGUCCUGGGAAAAACCUGUUGCUGAAGCACUACUAUCUAUUAUGUCACAGUGUUCUAGGUGGCACACAGUUCCUAAAUGUCGUCACGCACAAAUUCCGCGGAAUCCAAAAGCGCGCACCUACUUUUUCUAGUAUUGAAUACUUAACCAAAAGAAAAAUGUUCAAAAUGUUUUCAGCAAGGCAGAACUAGUGCAGCUCUUGCUUUUGGGACGCCAGGAAUCUAGCAAAAUGAAUAGGCCACGUGACAGCAUGCAGCUGGACGCGCCACAAUUGCUCUAAAGCAGUGCGGUCGUCUAGGUUUCUUUCAAGCAUGACAAAACAGGCAGAAAAGGGUGCGACGAACCAUACGCGGACAAAAGAUACGCCGAUUCGAGAAGCUUUGACCCCACCUGACCUUCUUUCGCCGAAUCAAUAACCCCAAUUCGUUCUGCUUCUCUCAAGUUUAUAAACAAGGUAGGUUCGUUGGCAAACUUGAGCCUUCUCACCCACCACAAUGCUUUGCUCAAGCAGCAUCUGCAGAAAGAGCCGUGCAAAACGCUCAUGGCUUCGCGUCUGCGUCAAUUUACGAAGCUGGCUGUACAAAAAGAAACUAUUAAGUUUGUAGUUGUAUAGUAAAGGAACGUUCUACUGGCUUACAAACAGCUGCCUGAACGGAGUGCUCAAAAAGAAAGGGAGAAUAAUCUAAGAAAGUAUAGAGAACCAACGUACAACUUGCGAUGCAUAAAGUAUUUACAACACCGACUAACAACGGUAUUUACUGAAAUAUUUCCCCUCCCAAAUUGGAGACAGUAUUAUUGCAUGCAUGAAUAGGAUAACAAGCCAAUCAUUGUAGAUAUAACGAGAUUCCAGAAAUUGGCGGGGCAUUUGCAGACCCAUCUUUGUUCACGGAACAGUGGUGAGGCAUUUUUCAAGUGUGCGCGCUACUGCCCACCUGCCAAGUACGUUCGCGAUGUCUUGGCAUAUGUAGACCUGCGCGAGACUCGCCCGUCUCCCCUCGCGAGACGGGUAGGACAGGUGCACAUGCUGAAUACGGGAAAGAAAUACUUUGCAGAAUGAAAUUGAAUUUUGUCAAAACACCAGAGCUCUGGAUUGCAGGUUACAGCGUGCACAGGGGCGCUCUGCCAGAUUUUAAAGCGAAGCUUUCUGUGCCUCCUCCCUCACUUUUUCCAAUUCUGCUGCUGCUGCUGUCACUGGCUUGCCAGCCGCGUCGGUGGGUGGUUUGAGAGCGUGCAUAAUGAACAUGAGAGGGACGCGGGGAAGGCGUGUGCGAGUCCUUUUAGCGAGAACUUCGUGGGCAUCGCUACAAUACUCUUUGGACCUCUUUGGCCGUCACAAUGCCCACUGAAACACCCUGGCCAUCGACACAAUGCCCUCUGGAAGACUAAUUACGCGUUAGCCCCCUUCUGCCCACCCCCACCCACCGCAAAAGUAGUGCAGAAGGUGCAGCACUUACUUUUUUGUACUCACAUGCAACAGCGCAGAGGAGAGACAGUAUGGUACUAAGGGGAGACAAGAGAAUGCUUAAAGCCAACACCCAGACGAAAUGUCAUCACAGUUCCCACACUUUGCCAGGAAAUUGUUGUUGUCAUUCAAUAGCCUUUACCACAGCUGCACCCUCGCCGAGCAAAGGGGUUCGGCGAUGGUAUAGGCACAGCUAUUGAAUGGGAACAAUACUAAAUUGCUCUGCUCGUGGUAGUUUGAGGGCGAGCGUAGUUGGGUCGAAAAUGACUUGUCUACCGCAUGCACAAAAUACCUCGAUUUUGAAUAUAUCUUCCUCAUUACCCGUCAAACUGCUAUUAUAAGCAACUGCAGUAAGACAAAGACCGACAUCAGAUUAUGACAACGACAACUCAUGGUGCUGUCCACCAGAGGGGAAUCGUUGUUAUAUUUGUUCUUUCUUUUGAGCGGUCAUAGGCCCCACUCGCUCACCCGCUCAUAAAAACAAAGAAAAAAAAAACCCGAGAUCUGGAUUCGCUUCGGUUGCACUUUCACGACAGCAGGCAAAGAAAGACUUUUCGUACUUGGAAACUUAAGGUUUUCGUGUAAUUCUGCACAUGUGAAAUUUCGUGGUGUCGCCUAUACGUUUAGAAAGCUAUUAUGCAAGUACUUUUAUAUCUGCCGUUAAUCCAAGCUAUUUAAAAUUUGAGUGAGCACUCCAGUUCAGAAAUAUGAGCAUUGUGAACUUCUUGAAAAUGCCAAUUAAAGCUUUUUUUCUCUCUCUGUUUCUCUGUGCAUAAAAGAAAAGACAGACUCGCAAGUACCUCUGUAUCUUAUACAAUCAGGAAGGGCCACGUCUCUUUACAAAUGAACGUCCAAGCAAACAAACAAAAAAGAAAGCAUCGACAAAUAAAUUCACUUACACGCAGUUACCAGCCCACCUUUGCCCCAUUUGAUUUGAUAUCAGCCCAUGUUUCUGGAAAUAAAUUUCCAGUGAAACUACCCGUAAACACAGAAAAUGGCUUAGAGGUAGCGUAAAAUAAAUAGCUUUGAAAGUAAUACACACACAUAGUUUAAAAGAAUAUUUGUUUUUAUGCCUUGAAAACGAAACCGAAAUUGAAAUAACUUCCCCCGACGGGUGUCGCCGCUAUCGCCGCUACGUCAUUUCCUGCGUCUCGCGGCGGGCCGCCGGGAGCACAUGUGUGUGUUCUCCGUGACAUUCUUGAAGUUGUGAGUAAUUAGAUUGUUUUUUGCUGCGUUUAGGUUGUACCACCUCGUUGUUUUCGUGUACUUUUGUGCUCAUCGACGCGAAGUGAGCGUCCGGAGUGAAGGCGACGCGAUUAUGCGUGAGAAAGAAGGGCACCAGCGGCCUACGACAUCGGUGUUUCUUUGUGACAGUGUGUUUACUACGCCUACGACGGCCGUCAUUCGUGGCGAAGGAGAAAACAUCUUCCAUUCGGCCUGAACAGUGAUGAAGUGGACGUUUUGUUUUUCGGCGGAAUGCAUCGUCAACAUGGUCCAUCCACUACGUAAACGAAACGGCGUGCCCAGAGUACAGAUCGUGACAGCGCUCCGCCUUCAAACCGAGGGCCUUUUGCAAGGCGCAUGAACUGCUCAUAUAAAAGUUGCAGUCAGCAUGAAGCAAUUGCAUGGGAACCGACUGGCUGUCUUGGGCCUACACGUUGCUGAAAAGACAGUGAAGACGUCUGACCCGACAGGUA